CAGCCGUGAACUAUGCGCGUUAGGUGUAUCGGUGACCACGAGUUACCGAGGUGCCGAAGGGAAACCGUGAAACGUGCCGCCUGGGAAGUACGGUCGCAAGGCUGAAACUUAAAGGAAUUGGCGGGGGAGCACCACAACAGGUGGAGCCUGCGGUUUAAUUGGACUCAGCGCCGGGAAGCUCACCGGAUAGGACAGCAGAAUGAUUGCCGGGCUGAAGACCCUGCAUGACUAGCUGAGAGGAGGUGCAUGGCGGUAGACGUCU
rnacentral:rRNA from 1 species